CAGUAGCCGCGGGAAUACGUAGGGUGCAAGCGUUAAUCGGAAUUACUGGGCGUAAAGCGUGCGCAGGCGGUUAUAUAAGACAGAUGUGAAAUCCCCGGGCUCAACCUGGGAACUGCAUUUGUGACUGUAUAGCUAGAGUACGGCAGAGGGGGAUGGAAUUCCGCGUGUAGCAGUGAAAUGCGUAGAUAUGCGGAGGAACACCGAUGGCUAAGGCAAUCCCCUGGGCCUGUACUGACGCUCAUGCACGAAAGCGUGGGGAGCAAACAGGAUUAGAUACCCCCGUAGUCCCUGUCUCUUAUAC
rnacentral:rRNA from 1 species